GGCGGAGGGAGGGGCUGCUGGGGGCGUGGGCCGCGGCGAAGGAGGGAGGAGAAGGAAGAAAGAUGAUCAAGAUCGACCUAAGAAGGUGGAGGUGAUACUUCUAGAAGAGCCGAAGAUGCUCAAAAAACUAUUAGGAACCAAGAGAACGCUGUGAGGGGAUUCCCACCCAUGGCCCUCAGAAACCUCAAGUUUGGACCUCCAGGGUCCAGCACUGAGAGGAUGAGUUCAUACUGUCUCAACCCCCGUUCCUCAGCAGUUUGGUACUGUGGUUACAGGGGCUUUGUCAAUCAAAGGCAGGUAGGAUGGAGCCCUCCAAGAUCUUCAUUGCAAAGUCUGCACAUGGCCCCUCCCCUCUGCCCAGCCUUCACCCCCAGCUGGUUUGUCCUUGUGUCUGUGUAGCUGCCAGUUUAGGUCCCAAAUCCCCAGUUUUCCCCAGGCCCAGCUUCACC
rnacentral:lncRNA from 1 species